CAGGCUUAACACAUGCAAGUCGAGGGGCAGCAUGGUCUUAGCUUGCUAAGGCCGAUGGCGACCGGCGCACGGGUGAGUAACACGUAUCCAACCUGCCGUCUACUCUUGGACAGCCUUCUGAAAGGAAGAUUAAUACAAGAUGGCAUCAUGAGUCCGCAUGUUCACAUGAUUAAAGGUAUUCCGGUAGACGAUGGGGAUGCGUUCCAUUAGAUAGUAGGCGGGGUAACGGCCCACCUAGUCUUCGAUGGAUAGGGGUUCUGAGAGGAAGGUCCCCCACAUUGGAACUGAGACACGGUCCAAACUCCUACGGGAGGCAGCAGUGAGGAAUAUUGGUCAAUGGGCGAGAGCCUGAACCAGCCAAGUAGCGUGAGGGAUGACUGCCCUAUGGGUUGUAAACUUCUUUUAUAAAGGAAUAAAGUCGGGUAUGGAUACCCGUUUGCAUGUACUUUAUGAAUAAGGAUCGGCUAACUCCGUGCCAGCAGCCGCGGUAAUACGGAGGAUCCGAGCGUUAUCCGGAUUUAUUGGGUUUAAAGGGAGCGUAGAUGGAUGUUUAAGUCAGUUGUGAAAGUUUGCGGCUCAACCGUAAAAUUGCAGUUGAUACUGGAUAUCUUGAGUGCAGUUGAGGCAGGCGGAAUUCGUGGUGUAGCGGUGAAAUGCUUAGAUAUCACGAAGAACUCCGAUUGCGAAGGCAGCCUGCUAAGCUGCAACUGACAUUGAGGCUCGAAAGUGUGGGUAUCAAACAGGAUUAGAUACCCUGGUAGUCCACACGGUAAACGAUGAAUACUCGCUGUUUGCGAUAUACUGCAAGCGGCCAAGCGAAAGCGUUAAGUAUUCCACCUGGGGAGUACGCCGGCAACGGUGAAACUCAAAGGAAUUGACGGGGGCCCGCACAAGCGGAGGAACAUGUGGUUUAAUUCGAUGAUACGCGAGGAACCUUACCCGGGCUUAAAUUGCAGAUGAAUUACGGUGAAAGCCGUAAGCCGCAAGGCAUCUGUGAAGGUGCUGCAUGGUUGUCGUCAGCUCGUGCCGUGAGGUGUCGGCUUAAGUGCCAUAACGAGCGCAACCCUUGUUGUCAGUUACUAACAGGUUCCGCUGAGGACUCUGACAAGACUGCCAUCGUAAGAUGUGAGGAAGGUGGGGAUGACGUCAAAUCAGCACGGCCCUUACGUCCGGGGCUACACACGUGUUACAAUGGGGGGUACAGAGGGCCGCUACCACGCGAGUGGAUGCCAAUCCCCAAAACCUCUCUCAGUUCGGACUGGAGUCUGCAACCCGACUCCACGAAGCUGGAUUCGCUAGUAAUCGCGCAUCAGCCACGGCGCGGUGAAUACGUUCCCGGGCCUUGUACACACCGCCCGUCAAGCCAUGGGAGCCGGGGGUACUUGAAGUGCGUAACCGCGAGGAGCGCCCUAGGGUAAAACUGGUGACUGGGGCUAAGUCAUAAC
rnacentral:rRNA from 1 species